rnacentral:rRNA from 1 species
UACGGAGGGUGCAAGCGUUGCUCGGAAUCACUGGGCGUAAAGAGCGUGUAGGCGGUUUCGUAUGUCUGACGUGAAAGCCCCGGGCUCACCCCGGGAAGUGCUUUGGAAUCUGCGAAACUAGAGUCUCGGAGAGGAAGGUGGAAUUCCAGGUGUAGCGGUGAAAUGCGUAGAUAUCUGGAAGAACACAGGUGGCGAAGGCGGCCUUCUGGACGAUGACUGACGCUGAGACGCGAAAGCGUGGGGAGCAAACAGG